rnacentral:rRNA from 1 species
UGGGGAAUAUUGCACAAUGGGCGCAAGCCUGAUGCAGCCAUGCCGCGUGUAUGAAGAAGGCCUUCGGGUUGUAAAGUACUUUCAGCGGGGAGGAAGGGAGUAAAGUUAAUACCUUUGCUCAUUGACGUUACCCGCAGAAGAAGCACCGGCUAACUCCGUGCCAGCAGCCGCGGUAAUACGGAGGGUGCAAGCGUUAAUCGGAAUUACUGGGCGUAAAGCGCACGCAGGCGGUUUGUUAAGUCAGAUGUGGAAUCCCCGGGCUCAACCUGGGAACUGCAUCUGAUACUGGCAAGCUUGAGUCUCGUAGAGGGGGGUAGAAUUCCAGGUGUAGCGGUGAAAUGCGUAGAGAUCUGGAGGAAUACCGGUGGCGAAGGCGGCCCCCUGGACGAAGACUGACGCUCAGGUGCGAAAGCGUGGGGAGCAAACAGG